rnacentral:misc_RNA from 1 species
UCGAGCGUCAUUACAACCCUCAAGCUUUGCUUGGUAUUGGGCAUUGCCAGUUUCUGGCAGGCCUUAAAAUCAGUGGCGGUGCCAUUCGGCUUCAAGCGUAGUAAUUUUUCUCGCUUUGGAGACCCGUCUGGUUACUAGCCAACAACCCCCAAUUUUUUCAGGUUGACCUCGGAUCAGGUAGGGAUACCCGCUGAACUUAA